rnacentral:rRNA from 1 species
GACGAACGCUGGCGGCGUGCCUAAUACAUGCAAGUAGAACGCUGAAGAGAGGAGCUUGCUCUUCUUGGAUGAGUUGCGAACGGGUGAGUAACGCGUAGGUAACCUGCCUUGUAGCGGGGGAUAACUAUUGGAAACGAUAGCUAAUACCGCAUAACAAUGGCUGCCACAUGUCAUUUAUUUGAAAGGGGCAAUUGCUCCACUACAAGAUGGACCUGCGUUGUAUUAGCUAGUAGGUGAGGUAAUGGCUCACCUAGGCGACGAUACAUAGCCGGCCUGAGAGGGGGAUCGGCCACACUGGGACUGGGGCACGGCCCCGACUCCUACGGGGGGCAGCAGUAGGGAAUUUUCGGCAAUGGGGGCAACCCUGACCGAGAAACGCCGCGUGAGUGAAGAAGGGUUUCGGAUCGUAAAGCUCUGUUGUAAGUCAAGAACGGGUGUGAGAGUGGAAAGUUCACACUGUGACGGUAGCUUAACAGAAAGGGACGGCUAACUACGUG